ensembl:lncRNA
UGAAAUUUGGAGUCAGGACAACCGUUUAUUUGCAAUGUGGCCUGAAGCAGGUGACCUGACCUUUCUGACCCUUGCAACUCCCUUCCCUUAAUUGCAGUAUCACUGAGUAGGUCAAGUGCUCCACUUCACACUCCCCUGCUGUCAUGCUGACCUUUGUCCACCUCCCUGAGCUAUGUGACUCCCUGGUCUACCUCCUGAAUCCCUUCCGGGUCCUGAGAGCUCCGUGAGGGCAGAGUCUUGUCAUCUCUAUGUCCCCGUGCCCAGCACAGAAUCUGGCAAAGAGCAGAGGGCUGGGGUUUUGGGUGGAUGGGGAAAAAAAGGAAGGCAGGGGAGGGAAGGAGAGAGAGAGGAAGGAAAAGUAGGGGAAAAUGCAAAUUUAAACUCCUCUGGAGCUCAUAGUUAUUUUAACCACCAACUGGCCUAAGUGAUAAGACACGCUAAGAAAACGAUAGUAUUACUGUCACGUAUCACUGCCCAGUGUCCAGCGCUGAUAGACACAUGUGCCUGCUUCCUCUCCCAACAAGCCUGGUGGCUUAGAUAGGAAAGAAUCCACCUGCAUUGGAGGAGAACUGGGUUCAAUCCCUGGGUUGGGAAGAACCUUUGGAGAAGAAAAUGACUACCCAUUCCAGUAGCCGUGGACAGAGGAGCCUGGUGGGCUACAGUCCGCAGGGUCACAAAGCGUCAGACACAACUUUCACCGUAAUCCUCCGUUGGACAGACAACAAAGCAGAGGUCAGGAGAGGUCGAAUCACUUGCGCGUGUCACACAGCUGGCACGUGCUUGGAACCUGGACUUGAGCCCAGGCCCCCAGAACUCCAGAGCCGGUGCCCUUCACUGGUGUACCCUCAGCACCCAGCCUGGGACGUGACAAAUGAAAGAUCAAGUGAGUGAACGAACGUCCUUCCGCAGCCAUUCUCUCACUGGAUCUCCAGUCUCACUCUUAGCUCUUUCUUCCUGCAUGUGUGGGGAUUAGAACAAAGCACCUGAGGCUACGCAGUCCUGAUUCAGAUAUGAGCUUUCCACGUCACUGGAGGAAAAUCACCGCUAUCCGAGUGCCCAUCUCUAGAUUACCCUCACAGCCGCCUCUCCUCAAAUGAUUCUCCCACUGUCCCCUGAGGCUGAUGGGGGCUUCUCAGACUAAUAAGCUCCAGGAGACAGUGGGAUAAUCAUUUGAGGGGAGGGGGCUGUGAGGGAGCUGCAGAAUGGGUAAGCCCAUUAGUCUGGGCAAGCCCUUCUUCCUGACUGACAUACGUGCAAGCUUACAGGGAUCCCAGACCGGGAUCUGCUGCAUUUUAACCACUGGACCGCCAGGGAAGUCCCUAGAAUAAGUUCUCAAGAAGCAAAAUGACUGAGCACGAAACUGAACAUGUUUUCUUCCAUGUAUGUUUACUAAAGAAAACAGGGAAACAGAGAUGUUUCAUAGAAGAACCAAAGCCUUACGCCCCACAGUGCUGACGUUUGAGAAAUAGUAUAUCUUUAAACAUUGCUAUUUCUUUUCUAGGUUAAAAACAUAAUAAAUUGCUAGUUGUAGGUCAUAAAAAUCAAGAUCUUGUUUUAUUUCUGUUCCCUACUCUGCAUGUUUCACUUCAGGUUAUUAAGCUAUUUUCCUGGGCCAUUAAAAAGUAUUUGGAAAUGUGAUUU